ensembl:lncRNA
GACCUCACAAUGACCUCCACGGUUGCUAGGCGUCGCGUCCGCCGGGCUCUGAGGGAGCGGGCGCGCCCCCUGGCGGUGGGCUGGCGCAGGUGCAGUGGCAGGCUGUGGCAGGGGCUCCAGUGGGAGUGGCGGAUGAAGGGAUGGAUGCGUGGGUGGAUGGCCGGCCGGAAGGACGGAUGGAUGCCUAUACAAAGGGAAGGAAAGCAGGACUGAAGGAAAGAAGGAAGCAAGGAAAUAAGGAUGGGGAGAUGGCUGGCUGGAGCUUCCGUGAGUGGGGGGAAGGCUGGCAGGGCCACGCUGAGCGGGCAGGACCAGGAGCCUAGCGGUGGUAUCCGUUCAUCAGGUCGGCUUUGAGGGACUGUGCCUGGGACUGUCCCGGAAGGGGCCUGCCCUGUGACCCCGAGAUGGCGCUGCCCGUGUGCUUCUUGUCAGCUUAGCUCUCUCAGGGACUUCCGUGCCUCAGGACCUGGAGCUACAGUCCCGAGCCCCACCAGCUGCCCGUGUGGGUGCAGGGAUGGGGUUUUCCCGCUGGGCCCAGGCCUCCGUGCAGUCCUCAUUCCUCCCCCUGACUUUGUGGCCGUGUGCCUGUCUUCGGCUGUGUGACUGAGUGUGAUACUUUGUUGUUCCUUAUCGGCUUUCCUGGCAUUUCUGAAGGUGUGCCUGACGCUUGGGUCAGGCACUUGGAAGCAGCCCCUCUCUGUCCCGAGAGACAGCUUGCCAAACCCCAGAACCUGAAAUGUCCUAGAUCAGAAACUUGUCUUCGAGUUGGAGGAAAGGUCCCCAAAGAGGCCGAAGCAGGGACUCGUGGCUCUCCUGCACUCCCCCAGCCCUCUUCCCCCAGCGCUCAAAUCGGACCUCACCAGAAUCAGGUGCCAUGGUCAGGAAGAGCAAAGUCACUCUGGGACCACGAUAGCAUGGACUUAACUGCACACGGGAAGGAGAUCAAGGCUGUUCCUUCUGCCAGCUGGAUCCACCCGGGUCUCGCUUCCUCCCUCACAAGACAAAACACGGCCUCCCAUCACGACUUGAACCUUUCCGUCCAGGAGGAGGAAAAACCGAGUCAAGACGGAAGGCCGAAAAAGACUUGCGGACAGAACGUGGCCACGCUCGGCGGGCCAGCGAGGCAACGGGUACCCCACCCGGCAGGCUCUUGCUCCAGAGGGUCCCCGCCCUGGUCUGGCCGCUUCCUGCUUCUUAGGGCCCUCCUCUCUGGAGAGAUCCACCACGAGGGACGAGAAGGACCCUCCCUUGGCCCACUCCCCUAGUGCACCCGAUGCGGGCAGAGGGCCAGGAGCGACACAGGGGUCGCCCAAUUUCCCAAAGCGAGGCUGGCCGAGCUUGCCCCGGGGGCCAAGACUCUGUCAGCCGGACAACUCCUGAGGAAAGGGCCCUGGCUCCUGAAAGGCUGUGGGAAGUGCCAUCGCCCCUGCAGAAAAGGAAGGAGCCCGAAACUGGUGUGCCUCAGCCGGCCAGGGAGUACCCUCCACGGCCAGGUCCCCGCCGGCCAUACCCAGCCACCCGGGUCCAAAUGGGGGACCACAGAGGUGCCUGGCGUGCCCACGUCUCACCGGCAACUAGGGCCGCCACACCGG